rnacentral:rRNA from 1 species
CCAAUAGCGUAUAUUAAAGUUGUUGCAGUUAAAAGCUCGUAGUUGAAUUUUAGGCCUGGCCGGGCGGUCCGUCUUUGGCGAGUACUGUCCUGUUGUCGGGUCUUCCUUCUAGUGAACCAGUAUGCCCUUCAUUGGGUGUGCCGGGGUGCCAGGACCAUUACCUUGAAAAAUUAGAGUGUUUAAAGCGGGCUAUUGCUUGAAUAGAUUAGCAUGGAAUAAUAGAAUAGGACGUUGUGGUUCUAUUUUGUUGGUUUCUAGGACCACCGUAAUGAUUAAUAGGGAUAGUUGGGGGCAUUAGUAUUCAAUUGUCAGAGGUGAAAUUCUUGGAUUUAUUGAAGACUAACUAUUGCGAAAGCAUUUGCCAAGGAUGUUUUCAUUAAUCAAGAACGAAAGUUAGGGGAUCGAAGACGAUCAGAUACCGUCGUAGUCUUAACCAUAAACUAUGCCGACUAGGGAUCGGACGAUGUUAAUUUUUAAUGACUCGUUCGGCGCCUUACGGGAAA